rnacentral:rRNA from 1 species
UACGUAGGGGGCGAGCGUUGUCCGGAUUUAUUGGGCGUAAAGAGCUCGUAGGCGGCUUGGCAAGUCGGGUGUGAAACCUCCAGGCUCAACCUGGAGACGCCACUCGAUACUGCCAUGGCUAGAGUCCGGUAGGGGACCACGGAAUUCCAGGUGUAGCGGUGAAAUGCGCAGAUAUCAGGAGGAACACCGAUGGCGAAGGCAGGUCUCUGGGCAUUACUGACGCUGAGGAGCGAAAGCAUGGGGAGCGAACAGG